GGUCUUUUGUUUAUAUAAAAGAUCUGGCCUGCCCUAUGAUUUAUUAAAUGGCUGCAGUAUUUUGACUGUACAAAGGUAGCAUAAUCAUUUGUCUUUUAAUUGAAGGCUGGAAUGAAUGGUUGGAUGAAAAGUAAUCUUUCUUAUUUUUAUAAAAUUAAAUUGAUUUUUUAGUCAAAAAGCUAAAAUGUGUUUAUAGGACGAGAAGACCCUAUAGAAUUUUAUUUUCAACUUAUAUAGAAAUUAUAGAUUAUUAGAUUAUUAUAUAGUUUUGUUAAUUUUGUUGGGGUGACAAAAAAAAUAUAAUAACUUUUUUUAUAUAUUUACAUUUGUUAUUGUUUAAUUGAUCCUGCAUUGUGGAUUAUAAGAUUAAAUUACCUUAGGGAUAACAGCGUUAUUUUUUUGGAGAGUACUUAUCGAUAAAAAAGUUUGCGACCUCGAUGUUGGAUUAAAAUAAGUGACAGGGGCAGAAUAUUGUUGUCUAGGUCUGUUCGACCUAUAAUUUUUUACA
rnacentral:rRNA from 1 species